rnacentral:rRNA from 1 species
GGGUGCCCCAGGCGCGUAGUCGGCACGUAAUUAAGCACUAAUAACGGUCGGAAAAGAAACUAACGAGGAUUUCCUUAGUAACGGCGAGUGUGAAAAGGAAAAAGCCCAACGCUGAAUCCGAUAGACAUUAUAUGGCUAUAUGGAAAUGUAGCGUAUAGGUAUAACUAUCCGUAACAUAUUUUUACACCCAAAGUCCCCUUGAGCGGGGCUACAGUCCAUAGAAGGUGCUAGACCUGUACGGGUGAAAAAAGUUACGGUAGGUUAUUCCUUAGAGUCGGGUUGUUUGAGAUUGCAGCCCAAAGAAGGUAAUCUCUUAGUAUCA